rnacentral:lncRNA from 1 species
UCCUUCAAACACCACUUCUUUUAGGUGUUCUACAAGUCAAUUACAAAUACAUGUAUGCUUAUGUUAUGAUAUGAAAUGCAAACUCUCACAAGGAGAGUUGGGGAACAUAAACACUCCUGAAUAAGCACAUGACAAGUAUACCAUACUUCUACACAACCUAGCACUUGAUGAAAGUGACCAAUUUGAAUUGACUUCGGUAAACCAGGGAACCAAUCCAACUUAUAUCUCAUCCAAAGCUUAAAAUUUCUUAAGCAAGUCCCUCACUUCACUAAAUUACUAGGUGUCCUCAUUUCGUCGGUGAAAUCCUUUUUAGAGCACACUUAAAUUACUUAAAAUUUGUAAACUGCACUAAAGAUCCCAAAAACACAUUUACCAGAGAGCUUACCAAUUUAGACAUCCCAUAAAAUUUGUCCCACGAUUUUACCAUAUUUCUACAAUUUGUGACAUAAUUAACAAGCUCUCAGAAAAAUGAAUAAAGGAAAAUCAUUAAAGCCGGGCUGAAACUGACCCACUCGGCCCAUUUCUAGGCAUAGUCGGCCCACAGACGGGAGCACGUGCCCGCGCGUGUAUUCUUGCACAAGGAACCCCGAUGCGCAAAACAAUUAAGUCGAGGCCCGACCACAGUUUUACUGUCUCUCUGACGUAUGCACAUAGCCCCCCUCUUCUUUGCUUUUGCACAAACUCGGCCACGACACCGCCACGCAAAUCUACGAUGAGCCGGCGCCAAAUCGACCACCGUGAUGUAACUCCGACGACAGCAAGGACACAAACAUAACCCUCAAACUAUGGCGAAUCAGGUAGGUACUUAUUUGUCCCGUGGAGAUCCUAAAACCGAGCUUUCGAUGGCGGUGGCGGCGAGCUCAGCUCGGCAAGACCAAUCCCGCGAACCCGUGCGAUAAAGCUCCGCCUAAGGACUCAGAGGGCUUCAGUGAUCACAUAAACCUACGGUGCGUGCGUGAAUUUGACCGAGAAUGGCACGUGUGAACGGGUCAAUGCGAAGGCUGUCCCCAGCGCCAAUCUGCAGCGGCACAACCUUGUUCUGGCCAGCAAACAAUGGCAACAUUAAAAAGGAGAAUCUAGUGAGCAUCACUGACCUUAUUUGAGCAUGGAACAAAUACCACACGGAAGAAAUCCAUCGAGGAAUCCUAGUCAUAGUGAGGUGGGGUUUUGGUGGACGUGGUCACCAAACAAGGGAGAGCACCAUAGGGCACUGGAGCCGAUCAACUAGGUGGCUGGGGAGGGAACUCAGACUUGCAACACAAACUGCAGAGAUACUAGAGCAACCAGCUAAAACACACAGACAGGGAGAAGAACUUCACUGCAGCCUUUCUUUCAAGCAGGCAGAUAAAAGGGCAGGGGGCAGGGAUCUUGGAGCUUAGCCAAGACUUGGAGAUUAAGGAUUCUCAGGGCGCCAGCACAACUUAGGCUCAUGUAAGUGGCUUGUUGUCACAAGCACCCUGCUGGCUCAGCACACAGCACACAAAUAUCAUCUUGUCCCUUGCUGCAAUUAAUAAACAAAAUAAACAGGUACUCCAUACGCACCGCUCCCAAAACAGCCAAGACUGGAUAAUUCAGUGGGGAGAAGCCUCUAGCACUCAAGUUAUGCACCUCAUCCCUAUCUGCAUACUACACAAUAGAAUUCAGCAGUACAUUGAACUUGAUCCAAUGAAAGGAGCAGGGACUAAACAUGUAAGGGUCCACCACAGAUAAUUCUGAACCUCUCCCCCUAGCUUGGAUAUUUU